AGGUGCUGGCUCCACCACUAUCACUAGCAGGCCUACUUGACUGAGUGGAUACAUCUCUACGUGUGGAGGUGCUAGCUCCACCACUAUCACUAGCAGGCCUACUUGACUGAGUGGAUACAUCUCUACGUGUGGAGGUGCUAGCUCCACCACUAUCACUAGCAGGCCUACUUGACUGAGUGGAUACAUCUCUACGUGUGGAGGUGCUAGCUCCACCACUAUCACUAGCAGGCCUACUUGACUGAGUGGAUACAUCUCUACGUGUGGAGGUGCUAGCUCCACCACUAUCACUAGUAGGCCUACUUGACUGAGUGGAUACAUCUCCACGUGUGGAGGUGCUGGCUCCACCACUAUCACUAGCAGGCCUACUUGACUGAGUGGAUACAUCUCUACGUGUGGAGGUGCUGGCUCCACCACUAUCACUAGCAGGCCUACUUGACUGGGUGGAUAUAUCUCCAUGUGUGGAGGUGCUGGCUCCACCACUAUCCACCACUAUCACUAGCAGGCCGACUUGACUGAGUGGAUAAAUCUCCACGUGUGGAGGUGCUGGCUCCACCACUAUCACUAGCAGGCCUACUUGACUGAGUGGAUACAUCUCCACGUGUGGAGGUGCUGGCUCCACCACUAUCACUAGCAGGCCUACUUGACUGAGUGGAUAAAUCUCCACGUGUGGAGGUGCUGGCUCCACCACUAUCACUAGCAGGCCUACUUGACUGAGUGGAUACAUCUCCACGUGUGGAGGUGCUGGCUCCACCACUAUCACUAGCAGGCCUACUUGACUGAGUGGAUACAUCUCUACGUGUGGAGGUGCUGGCUCCACCACUAUCACUAAUAGACCUACUUGAUGGUAAGAUGCUAUUCAGUAUAUUAUAUUUGUCCUCUUUUCUGUUAUAACAUAUGAAAAGUUAUUAUUAUUUCUGUGCUUGCAGCAGGCAGAGCACACUGUCGUUAUUGAUAAAAGUUAUUAUUAUUUCUGUGCUUGCAGCAGGCAGAGCACACUGUCGUUAUUGAUAAAAGUUAUUAUUAUUUCUGUGCUUGCAGCAGGCAGAGCACACUAUCAUUAUUGAUAAAAGUUAUUAUUAUUUCUUUGCUUGCAGCAGGCAGAGCACACUAUCGUUAUUGAUAAAAGUUAUUAUUAUUUCUGUGCUUGCAGCAGGCAGAGCACACUAUCGUUAUUGCUCAUACUUUUUAUUGUUUUGUAUUCUUGACACUUUUGGGGACCAAUUUCUUACAGUUUUUACUCUACAUACACAAUUCAUACAUCAAACACCUGCAGAUCUGGAUACUGAUGUGACAUGCUGUGACUUCUUGGGGGAGGGGAUGUCUUCUACAUCCUGAAAAGGUCUGAAGAAGAGAGGUUGAAACAUGAAAAAGGGAAGAAAAAACAACACACUACAAGUCACAGCAUGUCACUUCAGCAUCCAGCUCUGCAGGAUCAAGUACCCUAUAGGCUAUUCCUGUACACACAUCCCUAGAGGUUCCCUUACAUUACUUAAUGACCACAAUCUGUUUUCUUUCUAGACGAUACUGAAAACAAAAUGUAAGUAAGUCAUACAUUCUUAUUCCACUCCCUAUGCACCCUCUUGUACUAGAAAUAUAUAAAACAUAAACAUCUAAUUUGCUUAUCACGUCUGUGUGUGUUAUCUUGCCAAGUUUUUUUGAGACCCAUGUGUACACUCGCAGUGAUGGUGCAACACGAUGUUUUACAUUAAAAAUGUUGUCUAAACAUACUAUUAAAC